GACAUAAACUGGCAUGUUCUGAAAGAAUCACUCUGGAUGCUGUGUGGAGAAAACACUGAAAAGAGUGAGGAGACAUUUGGAAUAAAUAUGGCUUCUGGGGGCCCAUUCCUAUGGAUCAGCAGCUGGCUUCUGGAGGCCCAUUCCUGUGAAUCGUCGAUCUCAUAGAAGAUAAUAUUGUUAGAAGGCUUACCUCAUUGAUGCUGAACAUCCUAAAAAGCUUCUGCUGCUUUGAGUCACUGAAAAAGACCAAGAAACAUGAAUUUAAAAAAAAAUUUCAAAUGUUAUAAAAUAAAUAAUAUGAACUCAUUAUACCUACAAUGAAUAA
rnacentral:lncRNA from 1 species